GCAAACUUGGUCAUUUAGAGGAAGUAAAAGUCGUAACAAGGUUUCCGUAGGUGAACCUGCGGAAGGAUCAUUAAUAAAUUAAUUAUCCUAUUUAAAAUAUAUGGAUAAUAUAAUCCAUGUUCAUUUCAUGUGCAUAUAUUGAAAUUAUGAGCUUUGAUAGAAAAUAUAAUAAGAAGAAAGUUUUUUUUUUUUGUUAUUGAUCUAUCAAAGGAUUUCAUUGAUCUUAAUAAUUUUUAGUAUUAAAAUUAAUUGGAAUAAAUACAAGAAAAAUUUUUUUAUACAACUUUCAACAACGGAUCUCUUGGCUCUCGCAUCGAUGAAGAACGCAGC
rnacentral:misc_RNA from 1 species